UAUGGUUAUGGACGUCGAAGUUGCUCUACAUAAAUUCUUCGGAAUUUAGCUUGAAUUCUGAAAUAUGUGAACGGUAUCGCUACUUUGAAUAUUAUUCAAUGUGUACAAGAAAACAUAUUAAUUACCUGGUGUGCAUUUAUAUGAAAUAUAUUAAGCAUGGAGAAGCUGUUACAACGUCCCACAGCAUGGAUAUCACCAAGACUAAAAGACAGAAUGUUUUCAAUCCUGUACAAAUACUGCGUGGUCUUUGCGGGAGACUUCCAGUGCUUCACAACUGGUGUAACAAAUGCCGUGGUAUGUACUAUCCUGUCUGUGGGAU